rnacentral:rRNA from 1 species
UACGAAGGGUGCAAACGUUGCUCGGAAUUAUUGGGCGUAAAGCGCACGUAGGCGGCUUUGCAAGUCCCAUGUGAAAUCCCACGGCUUAACCGUGGAAGUGCAUGGGAAACUGCAGAGCUUGAGUACUUAAGAGGAUCGCGGAAUUCCCGGUGUAGAGGUGAAAUUCGUAGAUAUUAGGAAGAACACCGGUGGCGAAGGCGGCAUCCUGGACCAAUAUUGACGCUGAGGAGCGAAAGCCAGGGGAGCAAACGGG